UUACUUCAAAAAGCUGAUAAUCAGCUGAUGUGUGGUGACAAUAAACAGCAGCUUCCUUGGCAGUGCAUGCAUCCUAUUACUUGUAUGGGUUGCCCAGUGGGACCUUGGAGACAGAG
rnacentral:snoRNA from 1 species